rnacentral:rRNA from 1 species
GAUCAACGCUGGCGGCGUGCCUAAUACAUGCAAGUCGAGCGAACGGACGAGAAGCUUGCUUCUCUGAUGUUAGCGGCGGACGGGUGAGUAACACGUGGAUAACCUACCUAUAAGACUGGGAUAACUUCGGGAAACCGGAGCUAAUACCGGAUAAUAUUUUGAACCGCAUGGGUCAAAAGUGAAAGACGGUCUUGCUGUCACUUAUAGAUGGAUCCGCGCUGCAUUAGCUAGUUGGUAAGGUAACGGCUUACCAAGGCAACGAUGCAUAGCCGACCUGAGAGAGUGAUAGGCCACACUGGAACUGAGACACGGUCCAGACUCCUACGGGAGGCAGCAGUCGGGAAUCGUCCGCAAUGGGCGAAAGCCUGACGGAGCAACGCCGCGUGAGUGAUGAAGGUCUUCGGAUCGUAAAACUCUGUUAUUAGGGAAGAACAUAUGUGUAAGUAACUGUGCACAUCUUGACGGUACCUAAUCAGAAAGCCACGGCUAACUACGUG